rnacentral:rRNA from 1 species
UGGGGGAUAUUGCACAAUGGGCGCAAGCCUGAUGCAGCGACGCCGCGUGGGGGAUGAAGGCCUUCGGGUUGUAAACUUCUUUUGCUCUGAACAAGGCGCACUUUGGGGUGUGUUGAGUGUAGGGGUUGAUUAGCGCCGGCUAACUACGUGCCAGCAGCCGCGGUAAUACGUAGGGCGCGAGCGUUGUCCGGAAUUAUUGGGCGUAAAGGGCUUGUAGGUGGCUGGUUGCGUCUGUCGUGAAAGCUCAUGGCUUAACUGUGGGUUUGCGGUGGGUACGGGCUGGCUUGAGUGCAGUAGGGGAGGCUGGAAUUCCUGGUGUAGCGGUGGAAUGCGCAGAUAUCAGGAGGAAUACCGGUGGCGAAGGCGGGUCGCUGGGCUGUUACUGACACUGAGGAGCGAAAGCAUGGGGAGCGAACAGG